UACAGAGGGUGCAAGCGUUAAUCGGAAUUACUGGGCGUAAAGCGUGCGUAGACGGUUGCGUAAGUCAGAUGUGAAAGCCCCGGGCUCAACCUGGGAAUUGCAUUUGAGACUGCGUAGCUAGGGUGCGGAAGAGGGAAGCGGAAUUUCCGGUGUAGCGGUGAAUGACGUAGAUAUCGGAAGGAACACCAGUGGCGAAAGCGGCUUCCUGGUCCAGCACCGACGUUCAGGCACGAAAGCGUGGGAGCAAACAGG
rnacentral:rRNA from 1 species